UGGGGAAUUUUGGACAAUGGGCGAAAGCCUGAUCCAGCAAUGCCGCGUGUGUGAAGAAGGCCUUCGGGUUGUAAAGCACUUUUGUCCGGAAAGAAAUCCUUGGCUCUAAUACAGUCGGGGGAUGACGGUACCGGAAGAAUAAGCACCGGCUAACUACGUGCCAGCAGCCGCGGUAAUACGUAGGGUGCAAGCGUUAAUCGGAAUUACUGGGCGUAAAGCGUGCGCAGGCGGUUUGCUAAGACCGAUGUGAAAUCCCCGGGCUCAACCUGGGAACUGCAUUGGUGACUGGCAGGCUAGAGUAUGGCAGAGGGGGGUAGAAUUCCACGUGUAGCAGUGAAAUGCGUAGAGAUGUGGAGGAAUACCGAUGGCGAAGGCAGCCCCCUGGGCCAAUACUGACGCUCAUGCACGAAAGCGUGGGGAGCAGACAGGAUUAGAUACCCUGGUAGUCCACGCCCUAAACGAUGUCAACUAGUUGUUGGGGAUUCAUUUCCUUAGUAACGUAGCUAACGCGUGAAGUUGACCGCCUGGGGAGUACGGUCGCAAGAUUAAAACUUAAAGGAAUUAACGGGGUCAUAGCUG
rnacentral:rRNA from 1 species